AUGGACGGAAGAGAGCGUCCUUCAGUCCACUCACGGGCGGUGCUAGGAUCGAAUUAGCUGCCGACUCAUUCAUCCACUUGCCGAGCAAAGUUAUUUGCCGAGGAGCUUAGCAGGUGAGUGAAUGAAGCGGGAGGUAAAGUCUUUGAUCUCGCACCGUCGUUGCUUGGACUGAAGGGUGCUCCCUCCUCCUCUCUA
rnacentral:pre_miRNA from 4 species